rnacentral:SRP_RNA from 1 species
GCUGGGUGUCGUGGUGGGCACCUGUAGUCCCAACUAUUUGGAAGGCUGAGACAGGAGGAUCACUUGAGCCCAGGAGUUUGAGGUUGCUGUGAGGUAUGACACCAUAGCACUCUAGCCUAGGCAACAAAGUGGGACUCUGUCUCAA